rnacentral:tRNA from 1 species
UGUCCGGUCGUCUAAUGGUAGGACACUAGCCUUUGAAGCUGGUUAUCGUGGUUCGAAUCCAUGCCGGACAA